rnacentral:lncRNA from 1 species
CAUGGAGAAUUUAAAAAUGUAUAUCUUUUCUUUUAACCAUCUGACAAUCUCCUUCUCAUGACUCAAUAAUAACUUUUUUCUUUUCUCUUUCAGGAACCGCAGCUGCAAAAAGCUCUUGAGACACUUUCCAACACACCCACUCCACUUGAGGGAAAAUCCAUUCUUGAUGAAGCUAUUGUCAGACCUUCAAGUCCAGUAGACUCAGCAAAUCAAACAAGAGAAUUCGGUAGAAGCAAGCUUCCAAAUAGCAGCGAACUUCGAUCAUUAUCAGAUCAUCUUGUCAGCUUAUCAAGGGACAGCUUUAACUCCGACAGUGAUUCCCAAAAAUCUCUCUCCUCCUGGGAUAAAGUUAAAAGCAUCUGUAGCUCGAGUAAGUCACCAGAUUCAAUGCCUUUCAAUGAGCAUUCUGCAAAAAAUUGUAUUGACUCUAACAGUAAUCAAUCAGCCUUACAAGUAGAUUCAUACUCAGGCUACCAGUCUCAUAUCUGCAGUUCCACGCCUGUGACCGAAAACUUAUCUGGUGCUAAUUUAGGUUCUUUGUCUCAACAAAAUCAUCAAAAAUCCUGCUCCAACUCUUUCAAUCGUUUUUUUAGCAGUCACUCUCCAAGUUCAGUCCUGUCAUUGACUCUCAUGAUGUAAGCCGCAUAGGAAAACUACAAAAUUGCAAUCCAUCGCCACAAUCAGAUCACUCAAGCAAUUCAAGUGGGUCAAAGAAGAACGAAAUUUGGAAGAGGAUGGAUUUUAACGCUGAUUUCUCACGCAACAAAUCAUCUGUAAAUGAUCGUCUACAGAAAGCAAGGUCCUCAGUUAGAAAUAUCACUGAAAUACCGCACGCACCUUAUAUGAGGAAUGAAGCCUCAAGCAGAGUUCAAGGUGGAUUUAAUGAUCAGAAUCUUAAAAUAAUAGUUGGUCACAUGAACCCUAUAACAGACAUACACCGUACAAAAGUGAAAGUUCUUUUCUUCCAUCCGAAGAGCUUAAUUUGAUCAAUCCUUGGCUAUGCCCUCCAAAUGCUGUUGCACCAGCCAGAUCCUUCAACUGCUCAGCUCAACCACAAGAGAGAAGUGUAUGGGACAGUGAUGAGCAGUACCUAUCAAAUGCCAGAAGUGAUGCUGUUCUCAGACCUUCCAAUCGUUUCUCACACUGUCCUCAGAAUCCAGGUCCAAGCAGUGGUAGAUCCAUCUUCGAUGAGUUCAUCAUUGGUAAAGACAAGGCUCAGGCACCUCCAUCAAGGCAUAAUUUCAACAAUAAAAGAAGAAUGAUGCUUACAUUCAACCCUACUCUGACUCAAGGAACACGGCUCUCCCCCCUUUCCCUCAGCACGAUUUCAACAAUCAUAGAAAUGAUCAACUUGCUCUACCCCACCCUAAAUCUAGAAAUAUGGAUCAAUUUCCUCCACCGUGGCAUAAUUUCAGCAAUCAAAGGAAUAGUGAUCUUUAUUUUGCUCCCACUCAUGUGUCAAAAAUGUGGACCAACAUCCUCCCCGGAAGCAUAAUUUCAACAAUCAAAGAAGUAGUAAGCCUCAUCGUCGAAGAAAUAGUGAUCCACAUUUUCAAC